AGAAUUUGAACUUUUGGUCUCAAAAUGAAAGAUAUGAAAAUCCUCUUCGUUCUUUUGCUUAUUUUCUCAAUUGAUUUUGGUAUGAGUUUUGAUACUUGAAUUUAUUUUGUGUUAAAUUUCACGAUUUUUUGUCUCUUUAAUCAAUCAUGUUCAUGAUAGAAUGGAUUUUUUUAUUUUGUGCAGGAAAUCAAGUGCAAUUACUGGAGGCAAAACAAUGUUUUUAUGUUAUACCUGGUUAUUGUAAUACAUGGAAGAAUUUUGUUUGUGUAUUAACUUGCAAGGGUGUAUGCAAAUCAUUUUCUGCGCAUGGAGAAUGUCGCGACGACCGAGGUUGUCAUUGUCGUUGUUGUUGAUUAAAUUGUUAUAUACAACAAUGGAACAUUCAUUGUGUGAAAUUAUUAAAUAAGAACUAUAUUAAUAAAGUGUGGCUGCAUUGCAUAUUUCUCCUUUUCUCAAAUUUUUAGUAGUUGAAGAGUGUACGUUUUUGUUAGUUAACGUUCCUUUGUAGGAUAAUACGUGUGAUGUUUGGUCUUGGAACAAUGCUCAUGGUAGUUCUUAUUU
rnacentral:lncRNA from 1 species